GGUGACCUGCGGAGGAUCAUUA
rnacentral:rRNA from 8 species